UCGAAUCUGCAGUGAUAACUUUUGGGCAGGACUCAAUAAUGAGAAAGUGACAAACCAUGAUCUCAAAGAUAUUGUAUGGGACCUGGAACUGUCACAAAACGUUAUUGAGGCUUAUAUCCAAAUAGAGGAGGAUAAAAUAGAGCCCAUGCAGACAGAGAGUCCACAGUACAUGUCCACAUGGACUUGGGCUUACAUGCAAAGCUUCCAAGAGCCAUUUUGGCACAGGGACCUAUAUGAACA